rnacentral:rRNA from 1 species
ACAGAUCUUCAGAGUUUGAUCCUGGCUCAGGAUUAACGCUGGCGGCGUGCAUAACACAUUCAAGUCGAACGGAGUAAACUACUUCGGUGGUUUACUUAGUGGCGGACGGGUGAGUAACGCGUGAGCAAUCUACCUCUGGGUACGGAAUAACAACCGGAAACAGUUGCUAAUACCGUAUGAAAUAGCAGUACCGCAUGGUACAACUAUCAAAGAUUUAUUGCCAAGAGAUGAGCUUGCGUCCGAUUAGAUAGUUGGUGGGGUAACGGCCUACCAAGUCGACGAUCGGUAGCCGGACUGAGAGGUUGAACGGCCACAUUGGAACUGAGAUACGGUCCAG